UCUCUCGUGGUGUAGUGGAAACAUACGUUCUUGUCGCGGACGCGCCCCUGGUUCGAUUCCGGGCGAGAGAG
rnacentral:tRNA from 1 species